rnacentral:rRNA from 2 species
GACGGGAGCUUGCUCCUUGAUUCAGCGGCGGACGGGUGAGUAAUGCCUAGGAAUCUGCCUGUAGUGGGGGACAACGUUUCGAAAGGAACGCUAAUACCGCAUACGUCCUACGGGAGAAAGCAGGGGACCUUCGGGCCUUGCGCUAUCAGAUGAGCCUAGGUCGGAUUAGCUAGUUGGUGGGGUAAUGGCUCACCAAGGCGACGAUCCGUAACUGGUCUGAGAGGAUGAUCAGUCACACUGGAACUGAGACACGGUCCAGACUCCUACGGGAGGCAGCAUUGGGGAAUAUUGGACAAUGGGCGAAACCCUGAUCCAGCCAUGCCGCCUGUGUGAAGAAGGUCUUCGGAUUGUCGAGCACUUUCCGUUGGGAGGAGGGGCCAUCUGGUAACACCCUGGUGUUUUG